rnacentral:lncRNA from 1 species
UUUGUGAAUAGAGUAAAACCUCAAAUUUCUUAAAAGGUCUCAAGUACGAAAACCGAACAAGAAAAUAAAUCAUCAAGCGGAAGAGAAUUUAAAAUAUCCCAUAAAACAUAAAGCGAAAGCAAAAUGAUGUAUUUCCCCAUGGCAAACACGCUUCCUUCCUGCCCCUCGCCGGUUUGCCACCUUUGUUGCCUUUGUCUGAAAAAUUAAACAUAAGGGGUGAGUAUAAAAAUACUCAAUAAGAGACCCACUACUGGUCCCAUUAAGGAAAAACAAAUUGUUAACGUCCUAUUGGGAUACCCUGUACAGUCACAGUCUUGUGAUCCCGUAGGAUACACAUAUCAGUCUAACGCCCGAGGGACGUACAUUUCAGUCUAAUGUUCUGCAGAAACACUUAUCAGUCUAAUGCUUCCGAAGGAUGCAUAAAAAUUGGUGAUCCCAUAGGGCACCUACAAGGCACACAUCCCAAUAAAAGCUAACAAUUUUUUCCCUUAGUCCAUUCUAAAACAUUUUGAUAAUCGUUCAAUUUGCAAUUCAAGCUACCACUAUUUCAUUCUCUGAGUUCAACACUUUUACAGUCAAUUUAUGCAAUCCAACACCUAGUCAACAUUGUUCUAAUAGUUUCUCAACGAAUAACUUAUACACAAGUAUCACUCUUCUCAAUUUAGUCCGUUUAAUUUAAUUCAGUAACCACAGGACGCUACCUAUGCCCUAACAUAGCAACCAACAAAUCACAACUUGAUCAGUUCAGUCAUCAUAGCCAACCAAGCAUACGUACCAGUCAGUCCAUCUCAAUUCAUAGCCAAACAGUCAAAAAUAAUAUUUGCAUAUCAGUCAGUCCAUCAGACAAUACAUCUCAAUUUCAUUGUUGAGUCCAAUAGUAGGAACCCUUACCUCAAUUUUAUGCAAUUUCCUCAAUCGAAGUAAAUCCAAUAAUCAAAUCCUAAACAUAAACAACAUAAAAUCAACAAUGGUAUCUAGCCAUAAACAAACAGAGAGCUAGAAAAUUUCCAAUUAACUACAUCCAUCCAACCCACCCCAAACAUGAAUUUGACAACUUAGCCAAGGAGUGGGGAAUCCAACUCCAAUGAAGCUUAUUGCGAAACCCAAGGACCUUAACACCAAUUCACUAAUAUCGCCUUCAAGAAUAACAUCAAUUCAACCAAUUAACAUACAUCACAUCUCAAUGUAUUUACAAUGCAGAACCUCAUAACCCAUCAAUUUCAUCCUUACGAAAACAAACUUACAACAACGUAGAGACAGCGGCACACAAAACUAAAGCAAACGAGAUUGUGCAGAAAAUUUGAGCAUGGGUCGACUUCAAAUCCGCGGCUGGAAGGUGAGGAGGUAAGUGACGACACUCCGGCAGACCAACGGCUCGGAAGAAUCGGGCGACAGCUUUGCGAACGAACGGCGCGCGGCAGAGAAACGGGAUACGGCGGAGAGACGAUGCGGCGUGGCCUGGGCUUCGCGAGGCUGUUCGCGAACGGAGACAGAGACGGCGGCCGACAGUUGCAGACGGCGGCUGGGUUUCAGUUUCGGCGAAUGGAAAAGAAUGGGCGGUUGCUGGCUGAAGGGAGGAGGAAAAACUGAAGAAAAGAAAAGAGAAAAGAAGAAGAGAAGAGAAAGAAAAGACGAGAAAGAAAGAAAGAAAAAAUAAAUAAAUAAAAGAGUG